rnacentral:rRNA from 1 species
GGGUUGUGAGGUUAAGCGACUAAGCGUACACGGUGGAUGCCCUGGCAGUCAGAGGCGAUGAAGGACGUGCUAAUCUGCGAUAAGCGUCGGUAAGGUGAUAUGAACCGUUAUAACCGGCGAUUUCCGAAUGGGGAAACCCAGUGUGAUUCGUCACACUAUCAUUAACUGAAUCCAUAGGUUAAUGAGGCGAACCGGGGGAACUGAAACAUCUAAGUACCCCGAGGAAAAGAAAUCAACCGAGAUUCCCCCAGUAGCGGCGAGCGAACGGGGAGCAGCCCAGAGCCUGAAUCAGUGUGUGUGUUAGUGGAAGCGUCUGGAAAGGCGCGCGAUACAGGGUGACAGCCCCGUACACAAAAAUGCACAUGCUGUGAGCUCGAUGAGUAGGGCGGGACACGUGGUAUCCUGUCUGAAUAUGGGGGACCAUCCUCCAAGGCUAAAUACUCCUGACUGACCGAUAGUGAACCAGUACCGUGAGGGAAAGGCGAAAAGAACCCCGGCGAGGGGAGUGAAAAAGAACCUGAAACCGUGUACGUACAAGCAGUGGGAGCACGCUUAGGCGUGUGACUGCGUACCUUUUGUAUAAUGGGUCAGCGACUUAUAUUCUGUAGCAAGGUUAACCGAAUAGGGGAGCCGAAGGGAAACCGAGUCUUAACUGGGCGUUAAGUUGCAGGGUAUAGACCCGAAACCCGGUGAUCUAGCCAUGGGCAGGUUGAAGGUUGGGUAACACUAACUGGAGGACCGAACCGACUAAUGUUGAAAAAUUAGCGGAUGACUUGUGGCUGGGGGUGAAAGGCCAAUCAAACCGGGAGAUAGCUGGUUCUCCCCGAAAGCUAUUUAGGUAGCGCCUCGUGAAUUCAUCUCCGGGGGUAGAGCACUGUUUCGGCAAGGGGGUCAUCCCGACUUACCAACCCGAUGCAAACUGCGAAUACCGGAGAAUGUUAUCACGGGAGACACACGGCGGGUGCUAACGUCCGUCGUGAAGAGGGAAACAACCCAGACCGCCAGCUAAGGUCCCAAAGUCAUGGUUAAGUGGGAAACGAUGUGGGAAGGCCCAGACAGCCAGGAUGUUGGCUUAGAAGCAGCCAUCAUUUAAAGAAAGCGUAAUAGCUCACUGGUCGAGUCGGCCUGCGCGGAAGAUGUAACGGGGCUAAACCAUGCACCGAAGCUGCGGCAGCGACACUAUGUGUUGUUGGGUAGGGGAGCGUUCUGUAAGCCUGUGAAGGUGUACUGUGAGGUAUGCUGGAGGUAUCAGAAGUGCGAAUGCUGACAUAAGUAACGAUAAAGCGGGUGAAAAGCCCGCUCGCCGGAAGACCAAGGGUUCCUGUCCAACGUUAAUCGGGGCAGGGUGAGUCGACCCCUAAGGCGAGGCCGAAAGGCGUAGUCGAUGGGAAACAGGUUAAUAUUCCUGUACUUGGUGUUACUGCGAAGGGGGGACGGAGAAGGCUAUGUUGGCCGGGCGACGGUUGUCCCGGUUUAAGCGUGUAGGCUGGUUUUCCAGGCAAAUCCGGAAAAUCAAGGCUGAGGCGUGAUGACGAGGCACUACGGUGCUGAAGCAACAAAUGCCCUGCUUCCAGGAAAAGCCUCUAAGCAUCAGGUAACAUCAAAUCGUACCCCAAACCGACACAGGUGGUCAGGUAGAGAAUACCAAGGCGCUUGAGAGAACUCGGGUGAAGGAACUAGGCAAAAUGGUGCCGUAACUUCGGGAGAAGGCACGCUGAUAUGUAGGUGAAGUCCCUCGCGGAUGGAGCUGAAAUCAGUCGAAGAUACCAGCUGGCUGCAACUGUUUAUUAAAAACACAGCACUGUGCAAACACGAAAGUGGACGUAUACGGUGUGACGCCUGCCCGGUGCCGGAAGGUUAAUUGAUGGGGUCAGCGCAAGCGAAGCUCUUGAUCGAAGCCCCGGUAAACGGCGGCCGUAACUAUAACGGUCCUAAGGUAGCGAAAUUCCUUGUCGGGUAAGUUCCGACCUGCACGAAUGGCGUAAUGAUGGCCAGGCUGUCUCCACCCGAGACUCAGUGAAAUUGAACUCGCUGUGAAGAUGCAGUGUACCCGCGGCAAGACGGAAAGACCCCGUGAACCUUUACUAUAGCUUGACACUGAACAUUGAGCCUUGAUGUGUAGGAUAGGUGGGAGGCUUUGAAGUGUGGACGCCAGUCUGCAUGGAGCCGACCUUGAAAUACCACCCUUUAAUGUUUGAUGUUCUAACGUUGACCCGUGAUCCGGGUUGCGGACAGUGUCUGGUGGGUAGUUUGACUGGGGCGGUCUCCUCCUAAAGAGUAACGGAGGAGCACGAAGGUUGGCUAAUCCUGGUCGGACAUCAGGAGGUUAGUGCAAUGGCAUAAGCCAGCUUGACUGCGAGCGUGACGGCGCGAGCAGGUGCGAAAGCAGGUCAUAGUGAUCCGGUGGUUCUGAAUGGAAGGGCCAUCGCUCAACGGAUAAAAGGUACUCCGGGGAUAACAGGCUGAUACCGCCCAAGAGUUCAUAUCGACGGCGGUGUUUGGCACCUCGAUGUCGGCUCAUCACAUCCUGGGGCUGAAGUAGGUCCCAAGGGUAUGGCUGUUCGCCAUUUAAAGUGGUACGCGAGCUGGGUUUAGAACGUCGUGAGACAGUUCGGUCCCUAUCUGCCGUGGGCGCUGGAGAACUGAGGGGGCUGCUCCUAGUACGAGAGGACCGGAGUGGACGCAUCACUGGUGUUCGGGUUGUCAUGCCAAUGGCACUGCCCGGUAGCUAAAUGCGGAAGAGAUAAGUGCUGAAAGCAUCUAAGCACGAAACUUGCCCCGAGAUGAGUUCUCCCUGACUCCUUGAGAGUCCUGAAGGAACGUUGAAGACGACGACGUUGAUAGGCCGGGUGUGUAAGCGCAGCGAUGCGUUGAGCUAACCGGUACUAAUGAACCGUGAGGCUUAACCUUACAACGCCGAAGCUGUU